CCUACGGGUGGCAGCAGUGGGGAAUAUUGCACAAUGGGGGAAACCCUGAUGCAGCGACGCCGCGUGAGUGAAGAAGUAAUUCGUUACGUAAAGCUCUAUCAGCAGGGAAGAAAUACUGACCUUACGGUUAGCAGACGGUACCUGAGUAAGCAGCCGCGACUAACUACGGGCCAGCAGCCGCGGUAAUACGUAGGGGGCACGCGUCAGCCGGAGUGACUGGGUGUAAAGGGAGCGUAGACGGUUCGCCAAGUCUGGAGUGAAAUGCCGCAGCUUAACUGCGGAACUGCUUUGGAAACUGGCGAACGAGAUUGCGGGAGGGGUAGGCGGAAUUCCUAGUGUAGCGGGGAAAUGCGUAGAUAUUAGGAGGAACACCGGUGGCGAAGGCGGCUUACUGGACCGUAACUGACGUUGAGGCUCGAAAGCGUGGGGAGCAAACAGGAUUAGAUACCCCGGUAGUC
rnacentral:rRNA from 1 species